rnacentral:lncRNA from 1 species
GUGUUCUGUUAAAUUGUUCCUUUUAAAAUUGUUAAACGAUGAUGACUGAUGUACCCAUAUUUUGACUAUUAUAUUUAUUGUGUCUGUUUGUUUAACGCAUCAAUGUAAAAAUAUCGGAAAUUGAUGAGACUGUCAUUACAAAAGUGAGAGGGUUAGCGCUAUAGAACCAGGUUUAAUCCACCAUUUUCUACAUUUGAAAAUGCCUGUACCAAGUCAGGAAUAUGACAGUUCUUGUCCAUUCGUUUUUG